rnacentral:lncRNA from 1 species
CUAACAAUUACAGCUUCUUUAACAGGAUAAUGAAACACACCACAAUGUACAGAAAGCUUGCACUGCCUGAGAAAUGUAAGCACUAGUGGGAAGCAGAAAGAUCAGUUUUCUAAAUCCAAAGAAUUUGCUCUCAGAUCUGAGUUCAACCAACUUUGAGAGGUCUGUGUUGGAAAGGAUGCCAAGAAUUUAAAUUCAGAGCUGUGUUGAAACAGAGGCUAGAAGAGUGGAGAAGACCCUAUCGGCAAUGAUGUCUCCAGGAGCAGUUGUAAUAUCAACAGCAAAAACUUCCACGCACAGAGCUGGAGGCUGUGAUGGCUAGUGUGAAGCAGUUGGAAUCGUCUUUCCUCAAGGGCAUGGCAGUGGAGAAGGCACAAGAAGAAUGCCUUUUAGUAUGGCACAAGAACUAAAUCUUAACCAUCAAUGGUCUAGAAAGACUUAAGAUCAGGAGCAUUUUUAUGGUGGAUAUGCAAUCCUUAGAAAGACACAUCUCUAGAGACA